CUGAAGAAAAUAUAAUCUGAUUAAACAUUAUUCAGCUUUAAACAUUGUUCAGCUUUAAAGUUACUGUGCAACUGUGUAAUAAAAAUGUGCUCACGACUUUGGCCUUGAGAGCGAUAAGAAGCGAUCGCCUCAUCCUGCAGGUGCAAGAUAUCUGCAAGCGAAGAGGCUAGAACACCCAAGGCCGAUUUCCUUUUAUGGAGUUGUUUUUCUGCUAGUGCAGCACUUCUUCCUGUAGUUUUGGACAAUAUAUAUAUCCACUCUCACAGCAAAUCUUUGGAAUCUCCUGAUGUGAGCUGUGUUGAGAGGUUGUCUCUGUCUCAAUAAAAGUUCACUGAUUCCCCAUCUGCAGCAGGUGUCCGGUUGUCUUCAUUCUCCGCCAGCCUGGUUAAGUCAAUUCCUCCUUAACAUCUAAAAGAACCUAUUUAAUGAAGGAAGACGGGUUCACUCUGUGUUUAAUAUUAUUCUAGUUGUUGUUGUUUUUUUUAUAUCCUUCAAUUGGCGUCACGAACAGGAUCCGGUCCAGGUCAACUGGAACGGACGGGAGGACAAUCGGCCGUGGUCUGAGUGAACAGAGUUUGGACAAAAAGUUGCGCGCACACAAAAACAAGGUAAGCAGACCUUUUAUUUCUGCUAUAUUGAACAUUAUAAAAUACUUAGUGUCCAAACUCCUAGUAAUUCAUAACCAAAAUUGUCUGGCUUACUUAAGGCUUGUUGAGAAUCAGACAAGUGAAUAAGAGAUAAGUGAAUAAGAGAUAAGUGAAUAAGAAAUAAGUGAAUAAGUGAAUAAAGAUAAGAGUGAACUGAGGUCUGACCACGGUUGCAGCCGACGGGUUGCUCUCCGGUGUCGGAUACAUACCUCAGUGCAGGUCUGGGACCUUGAAAGGGUUUAUUAGUAACGCCUUUCUAAACAAUUAAAAGGUUAAAGGCCUUGAGAAUAUUUUUUAGUAAUAUUCUCUAAACUACAGAAGGGUUAGGAAGGCCCAGAGGACUUUAUUAGAAAAGAUCCUCUAAAACUUAAAAAGGAAAAGUACUGGUUGGAGUCCAAAGGAGGGGUCCCUUUGAUCAAUAGGAGAAAACGGAUCUCUUCUUAAAACCCCGAUGAUUUUAGUGUUUUAAAUGUUUUGAUGUUCUGUUUGAUAUUUGACACACAUAAAUACACGCUGAAUGCUUGCUGUGGAACACUGGGCAGGACAGUCUGGUUCUCCGUUGUUCACAGAUUACACAAUUAAAGGAACUAGGUUCCUCUUUUGGUUAAAAUAAUACACCACACAUAGAAUUUUUUACACAUUUAUUACAUACAUAAGGAGGGUAAUGAGUGACUGCAGGUAAUGUAUGAAGUGUGAAUGAGACGUGUGAACAAGGUGACAACCAACUAGCACCCCUAUCAGGAAGCUCUAGGCAAGGUACCCGCCAGACUCCGGUUUGGUAGAAGCUUGGUAACACCUGAAGGGAUAUUUCAGUGCUGACUCACCUUUAAAGCAGCGCCCCAGCUGUUAGUGCCUAACAGAGGCAGAAACCCAGCUGGCCCAAAUUCUCCUGUUAAAAUCAAUAAAACAGCUGAAAAAGUAUGAAAGAAAUGUUGGGUUUGAGUCCCUGGAUAUUGAGUUGAAGGCUCGGGUAGUUUGGUAGGGAAAUUAGGACAGAAACUGUUCCCAGAAGUAACAGAUACUGUUUGAUUGAUUACAAAAAAGUUAUCUUUCUUCGGUGAGACCCGUUAUAUUAAAUUUGUCGAAAUUUGUUAGGUGCUGAAUCUGUCAGGCCUGUCAGUGGUUGUAAAUAUAAGACGUCUUUGUAAUAUAAAAUAAUAGAGUCUUGUCUGAGCUUUGUGUGACCCUGUGUGUAACGUGGAGCGGCGGCGCUGAGGGCUAUUUUUAGACUGUGUGUGAACAUGCAAAUGAGCUGUGAACUACACAGAGGACUUUUGCUUCCUGUUUAGUGUGUUUUGUGGGAUUUGCAAAUAAUGAUACAAGCUCGUAAUAAAAACGCUGGUUUUGUUGAUUAUAAUAGUAUAAAUAAGGAUUUGAAUGACUACGCUGAAUGUUUGAUGUUCGGCUGGAUUUUAAUAUAGAAGAGAUAGAUUGUGUUUGAGUAAGACCGGCACUUCAGUCGGCAGAGUGUGAUUGUGAUGAAAAUGAUAUUAAAUAAAUCUCUUAAGUGGGUUGAUACAGGUGGCUACGGGCCUGGACCACCCGGCCCCAUAAGCAAACAAAAAGUUAAGUUAACCCACCUACAAACGCACAUACACGCAAUGAAGAAACAGCUUACACCCAUGAACAGGUGAAGAUUUUCCAGCAAGUUUAAAGCAGCGAAGCUUAACAUACACCCGCCGUUACACAAAUAAAGGUUAUCCACUACUAACGAAUAAACUCUCUGGAAAUCACUGAACAUGGGUCAGAAUUAUUCAAAGACCACAGACAGGUCCGAUAAAAAAUCUAAAUUACCUGUAAAGCCAAAAAUAAUAAAAUAAAAUAUAAAGUCUCAAAUAACGGCUCAGUGCGCCUCCCACUUCCGGUUACGUGUAACCUACGUCCGCGAAUCGGUGAAGACGUCCAUGAUCACAUAUCCAGAACAUGCGGAAGUACUUACGUGACUGACUUUGUUUACAACUUAAGAAGUUCAAUGCAUUCUAAUUAUUUCCGGAGCCCUUAUCCCGAACGAUAAUCGCCAGAAAACAGGUCAGUAAAACUGAAGGCCAGUGCAGAUACUACCACGAAAGCUAAAAGUGUUAAGAUAAAGUUGAAUUUUGAUGUAGAAGUCUCAGAGGAAAGUGAGAAACUAACGUAUGCAGGAUCAUCCGCUCCAGCACAGCGAGGAAGUUUCAGAGGACGGAGAGAUAAAAGUAGCGGAGCUCUUCCAGUCAAGGUAACUGGCAACCACAAGCUAGAGGUGCAAAUUUAGCUCAGUUUUCCAGCAGCCGCAGACACCCAGAGCAAAAAUGAAUUUUUGUAUUUCAUUUAACACAAAGGGUGAAAUGUUUGCUGACACUGAUAACAGCUUAUGUUUUCUCUGCCUUAUGCAUGAUGGAGAAUGAACAUCCUCUGUGUCAGCUGGACCCUCAGCAGAGAAUGAACUCAACAUCCUUUUUGUCCGGUACUCUAUGUCACACACUGUGCCAAAAAAAAAAAAAAAAAAAAAAAAAAAAAACACUGGUCUGACAAACCAGUGAAGAUAUGACAAAUUUAGGGGUUAGAAAAGUCAAAUUGUGACAAGUUUUCUGCCGAUUGAUAAAUAUAGGUGAUUACUGAAUGGAAGAAAAGGGAAAGAAUGAGGGGAGUAGUGGUAACUGAGGAAUAAUUUGGCAGAAUAGAAAGAGGGAGAAGCCAACUCAGCAGCAGCAGGUGCAGAUGUGAUGAGCAGGGGGAGACACAGAAAGGAAGCAGAUAAGCACGCAGGCCGCAAAGCUAAAUUUAAUCACUGGGUGUGUUUAUGGGAAACUGCGAAACCACCCACAUUUUUGUUUCUCUCACACUGAUUCAACCACAUGAUAACUGCUCACACAAGUGAAGGUCAAACAAUGGUUUUGCCAGCUGAAUACCAGAAUAUGACAUUAUGGUCAAAAAAUGAGAAUGAUAUAGGAUUUAUUGACUGUACACUUUAUCACACACACCUAUUAAAACACAACAAGCCAGUAUAUGUCAAGCAAUGUCCCAUUUCUGCCGAAAAAGCCGCAGCCCUAGAUGUCAUGAUAGGAGAUUUAUUGACUACAGGAGUAAUAAAGCCCACACUCCUGUCAAUCCUGUGCCAAAGCCUAACAAACCUGGCGUAUAGCGUUUCAUACAAGACUUAAGGCAAAUUAAUGCAGUCAAGCAUGUCUCUGCCGCCGCUCGUUUCAGAUGUUCACAGCAUAUUGACAUGCAUUACAUACACAUUUUACUGUGGUGGAUUUAUGCUCUGCCUUUUUCUCAGUACCUGUGCAUGAAGACACACAGCCGUUAUUUGCAUUCACACAUAGAAAUAAGAGUACACUUGGACUCUUUGCCCCAAGGCAUGGUUGACAGCACUGCUGCUUUCUCAAUGGUGGUCCGUGCUACCCUGGACAGCUUCACUCCUCGAAUCCAGGGCUGUACGGAUGACCUCCUCCUCUGUGCUGAAAGUGAAAAACUAUGUCAAACUGCUACACACAUGCUUCUCCAGCACCUCCAACAGACUGGCCACAAAGCAUCAGCAAAGAAAAUGCAGUACUGUCAGACUUAUGUUCAAUAUUUGGGAUUCACACUGUCUCACGGAAAACGUUCCAUGACUGCAGACAGGGUCAAAGCUGUGACCUCUGUCCCUCGGCCCACUACACAGAAGGAAAUGUUGUCCUUAUUAGGCAUGGUGAACUAUUGCAGACAGUGGAUACCAGACUGUUCUUUUCAUGACCACAUUCUGCGUGACUGUUGUAAAAAAAGACAAGCCUCCUCGAAUACUGUGGUCCAGAGAAAUGACUGCCUCUUUAAAUGCAUUAAAGGGAGUGCUGACCUCCCCCACUCAAAGGUGCUGCCUGUGGGAAUGCCGGCCUGCCUGAGAGCAGUAGCAGCUUGCGCUAUCAUGAUAAGGGACUGCGAGAAGCUUACACUCUCACAUGACACUAUUCUACACACCAAUCACCAGGUCACGACCAUUGUAGCGGACAUAACCACACAACAUAUGCAAAUCUCACUAUAAAAGCGAGCAGCACACAUGAUUCGCCAGGACAUUUAUUGAUCCAUAUGCUGUGUUCUUCUGACCGACGGGAUGGCUCAGACAGGCUUGACGAUCAUGACUGCAUGACAUGUAUAAAGGAAUCCAAAGGAAUCACGUCCAGAUUUAGAGCUCAUUUACAUUUAGAGGCCAACAAUGGCGUUACACUCGCCUAACACAGGAACUCGAUUUUGCACCAUCCAAAACCUGUAAAUGUAAAAGACAUGUUGUGAUUUUUGGGUCUGACUGGUUACAGCAGGACCUAUGUCCCAGACUAUGUUGCCCUUACCUCCCCUCUGCGCGUUUUGGUAAAUGAACAAGGCAUGAGAAACCUAUCUGCUCCCCUAUCAUGGACUACAGAAGCAGAACAGGCGUUUAUACAGUUAAAACAACAGCUUUCUGUCGCCUCUGACCUUGCUGUGCCAGAUUACGCCUUGCCUUUUCAUCUUGAUGUUUCUGGAACUGGAACCCAUGUCAAUGGUAUCCUGUUCCAGAAAAAAGGGGGAGAGAGAAAAGUGUAGACAUAUGUAAGUGCAAUGAAGAAAGUGAGAAGAAAGUGAGAAGAAAGGAGAGCGGCAAAGCAGAGAAAUGAAGGAUGACGAUGAGAAGAGGGCGAGUGGAAAAAGCUGGGUGUUGGAGCUAAGCUAUAAAACCAGGAGGGGGGGAAACAGAGUGAUAGGAAGGGAGGAGUGAGGCAAGGCUGCAGAAGAGGUGUGAAGACUCAUCUUUUUCUGGAUGGGUGUGAGUUAAGGCCGGAGCAGAGAGAGGCCUGGGAGCACAGCAUAGCCUAGUGGUAAUAAACCAGGAAACCCCAGUAGAGAAACAGACAACAUCAGCUAUAAGGAAGCUAUAAAGUGUUUUUAAAAUCAAAAUAUAGUCUUCAGUCUGAGCUUGAUAUCUUUAAAGUUGAUUGCUAGCUAGUUUACUCUUAUAUGGAAAUCGGUUAAAAGGGACCGUUUCAGAAAUUUUAGAAGUCAUGUUUGUUUUUGUACAUGUUAUGAGAUAUUUAAUUCAUAUAAUACACAUAUCAAGGGAAAUUCCAGUCCCCUUGACAUAUUUUGUUUUAAAUUGUAUAAAACAGUAUUGUGUCCAUAGCAUAAAAUGUAGCGUACGGUAAAGGAAACAGUUGGGUAAUCAAUUGAAUCUAAAUAGGUUUGAAACAUAAGUUUGGCUCAGUUUACCACCCCCAAUCCCAGGGGAAAGUGGAAAGGAUGAAU